UUGUUUAUUUUUGUUUUUAUUUCCAUUACUCCAGGAGCUGGUUCAAAAAAUAUAUUGCUGAGAUUUAUGUCCAAGAGUGUUUUCUUUUUUUUUCCUUUUUUGGGGGGUAUGGGGGAUUGGAAGAUACCAAAGAAACUUUUGAUUUCACCCAGUUAAACAGAGGUCACAAAAAAGCCAAGUAGUCCUGGGGGAGUAGAGAACGGAAGAGCAC